rnacentral:lncRNA from 1 species
UUCCAGGUGCUUUCCCUCACCAUGGAGUGGAGUGCUUUUCAUUUUCAUUACUGGAAAUACUGGCUCUUCAAUCAGAUGCUUUUUUAAGUAGUAUUCUCUGGGUUUUUGCAUUAUGUUCCUCUUUGGGCACUUAAGUGAUUUUAUAAAGGCACUGAGCAGCCGUAGAUUGCUUUGAAGUUGCUGACAAUUUGAAUAGUUGGCACCUCAGGAGAACCUGAGAAGUUUGGUGCAUCAGCUCAUGUCCCCAUGUUUUAAAACCAUGGCCUUUGCAUUGACUGACUUUGAGACAGGUGAAGUUGAUAAAAGUGAAGGAGUAUAAAAAAGCUAAGUGCAGCAGAGGAUUAGAAAAGGAGGGAAGAUAACGAGAAGAGAGAUCGUGGCCUAGAUUAAAAGGCAGAAUUUCAUUGAGAUGUUUUCCUUAUGUCAAGACUUCCUUUUUAUUGCCCUUUUUUCUUUAUACAGAGUUGCUCUGAAAAGGCUGCAUCCUGACUCUCCCACAUCCCUGUAUUUUAUCUUGGUCAACGAUGUACAUCCUUGUAAAAAGGACUUUUCUGUCAGCUGUACACCUGGGAAGCAGCAUGAGAAGAGUUGCCCAUAA